CCUACGGGAGGCAGCAGUGGGGGAUAUUGCACAAUGGGGGAAACCCUGAUGCAGUGACGCCGCGUGUGGGAAGACGGUCCUCUGGAUUGUAAACCACUGUCCCCAGGGACGAAGAUGACGGUACCUGGGGCGGAAGCUCCGGCUAACUACGUGCCAGCAGCCGCGGUAAUACGUAGGGAGCGAGCGUUGUCCGGAAUUACUGGGUGUAAAGGGAGCGUAGGCGGGACUGCAAGUUGGGUGUAAAAUCUACCGGCUCAACCGGUAGCCGCACUCAAAACUGCAGUUCUUGAGUGAAGUAGAGGCAGGCGGAAUUCGUAGUGUAGCGGUGAAAUGCGUAGAUAUUAGGAGGAACACCAGUGGCGAAGGCAGCCUGCUGGGCUUUUACUGACGCUGAGGCUCGAAAGUGUGGGGAGCAAACAGGAUUAGAUACCCCAGUAGUC
rnacentral:rRNA from 1 species